GCUUCGCCCGCCCCGCAUCGCUCUCUUCUUCGUCCGAUUCAAGUACGCUGCCGUUGCUGCUCGAAACCCUAGAGUUUCUGCUGUGUUCGGAUCGGUCGCCGUAGAGGAUGUCGAGAGCUGGAAACGAGGAAGACAAGAAAGCGGCGGAUCAGGCGGCGCACAUCAAUCUCAAGGUCAAGGGGCAGGGCGUAGCACAGACGGUGGGCGCAUGGUAUCUCUAGCGUAAUGGUUAGGGGUCAAUUAUCAAGAACUGACGACCUGGAGUUUACCCCACCAUGCACCUAUGGCCUGUGUACCUGCAUGAACCUCCCUCCAUAUCCAUGAGGCCGGUACUAGGGGCCGCUAAGGUAGCGGAUCUACCUUUUUUUAAGUGUGAUUUUCUUGUAGCCUGAAAACAAUUUGUCCCACUGCAAAGUUUGUAUUUCUUA